rnacentral:tRNA from 1 species
GUAUUUAUNGCAGCUCGGUAGCUCGUCGGGCUCAUAACCCGAAGGUCGUAGGUUCAAAUCCUGCUCCCGCA